CCGGAAGAAAUGGCCGCCGGACAACAAACUGGAGUGCAACCGUACAUGUUCGAGCCGGAGUCCGACCCAGAACAACAAGAGGCUCCAGAAGAAGUUCAGCAGCCAAGAAUGAACAUGGAUGUUUCUCAGUGGUGUUCCUGUGGCAGUUGUGAACAAGUGCCUACAGAGCCCGAGAAUAUCUGCUGUAUGGAAAUACCACAGGUAAGUGUGAACACUGGGCAAACAAGGUUGUUAUUUUGCAGUCUCUUUUCUUUAAUCCAUUGUCACUCACUUACCUUUCAUAACUUCUAGGUUACACGAAGACUAAGUUACAGCAGCUUCCUGAGCAACCAUCAUGCAUGCUGGACCAUCCUGGCCUAGAGCCUGUCUGCCUGAAUGUGUUUUCACUGAAGAAUGCACUGAACAUUUAUCGGGCAGACUACGGACCUUUAUGUCUGAGAAUACAAAUAUAGAUACCUAGCCUACAGAGGCUUUGUAAGCUGGUGCUGGUGCUUUCUGGGGCGAAGAGUGAGAGCUGUGCUGCCUGCUUGUGUGGUGCUGAGGAUUCAUGCAGAGUUCCCCGAC